rnacentral:rRNA from 1 species
GAUGAACGCUGGCGGCGUGCCUAAUACAUGCAAGUCGAGCGAAGCGGGGACGGGUGAGUAACACGUGGAUAACCUCCUAUAAGACUGGGCUAACUUCGGGAAACCGGAGCUAAACCGGAUAAUUAUAGAUGGAUCCGCGCUGCAUUAGCUAGUUGGUAAGUUAACGGCUUCCCAGGGCAACGAUCCAUAGCCGACCUGGGCGGUUGAUCGGCCACACUGGAACUGAGACACGGUCCAGACUCCUACGGGAGGCAGCAGUAGGGAAUAUUCCGCAAUGGGCGAAAGCCUGACGGAGCAACGCCGCGUGAGUGAUGAAGGCCUUCGGAUCGUAAAACUCUGUUAGCAGGGAAGCGGUACCUAAACAGAAAGCCACGGCUAACUACGUGCCAGCAGCCGCGGUAAUAC